CCCCUCAAGCCUUCAUGUAUCAGGAUGUAAUGUGGACAGCAUUGGUCAGCAGGUUUUCACACGCACAGCGGAUGAUCACAGACUUGCACCAUCAGUUGAGGAUAUGCAGUUUCUCCAAAUAAUGGACUCAGAGUUCUAUCAGGGCAGUGACAAAUAGCUGGGUUGGUCCUCUGCCUUUCCGAUCGCCACGACAACGGCUCCCGAACAACAGACAACUAGCCUACGAUCGCCUUAUGUCACUCCGGCGCACUCUUGAAAAACGACCUGAAAUGAAAACACACUUUCUGGAGUUUAUGAAGAACAUGCUUACCAGAGGACAUGCCGAAGUGGCACCAGCUCUCAGUCAGAACCAGGAAUGCUGGUACUUCCCUUUGUUUGGAGUUUACCAUCCGAAGAAACCUGCCAAAAUUAGGGUCGUAUUUGACUCAAGCGCCCCAUAUGAAGGAGUCUCUCUCAACGACGUGUUGCUAACAGGCCCCGACCUCAACAACAGUCUUGUUGGGGUGCUCAUAAGAUUCAGAAAGGAGCAGGUGGCCAUAACGGCGGACAUUGAACACGUUCCACUGUUUUGUUGUCAAAGAGAGCCACAGAGACUUUCUCCGCUUCUUGUGGUACAAAGAUAACGACAUGUCAUCUGAAGUUAUAGAGUAUCGCAUGCGGGUGCACAUUUUUGGGAACAGUCCCUCCCCCUCCGUCGCCAUAUAUGGGUUGAAGAAAGCAGCAGCGACUGGUGAGCUAGAUUUUGGGAGUGAGGUGCGGACAUUCAUUGAGCGAGAUUUCUACGUCGAUGACGCUCUCAAAUCAUUUUCUACUGAAGAAAGGGCUAUACAAGUUCUCCAAGCUCAACAGGCUCUUGCUUCCUCAAAUCUCAGACUACACAAAGUCAUCUCCAACCGACCUACAGUCCUAGAGGCUUUUCCACCAGAAGACAGGGCAAAAAAUAUUGGAAACUUGGACCUGUGCGCUCAAGACUUGCCAGUGCAAUGCAGUUUAGGGCUGCUGUGGAAUGUUAACACGGACACUUUCACAUUCAAAGUUGAAAACGAGCAAAAGGCCUUCACGCGUAGAGGUGUCCUCUCUACUGUUAAUAGUCUCUACAACCCCCUAGGGUUUCUCGCUCCAAUCACAAUUCAAGGCAGGCUGAUUCUCAGAGAACUUACCAGCUUGACGGAUGACUGGGAUGCAGCACUCCCAGACAACAUGAAAGCAGAGUGGAGGGUUUGGAAGGACUCACUUCGAGAUUUAGAAGGUCUCCAAAUACCACGCCCCUACACUUCUCUCUCUACAUCUGGCGCUCAAACCAAAAAACUUUGUGUAUUCGCUGAUGCAUCCGUGAAAGCCAUUGCAGCUGUCACUUACAUCAAACUGUCUACUUCAAACGAAACAGAAAUCGGCUUUGUGUUUGGGAAAACAAAGCUAGCUCCUCAAGCCGGCCUCACGAUUCCAAGGCUAGAGUUAUGUGCCGCAAUGCUUGCAGUUGAAGUUGCGGAGCUGAUAGUAGCGGAAAUAGACAUCACGUUUGACGACAUUGAGUACUACACCGACAGUAAAGUCGUGCUAGGCUACAUCCACAAUCAGUCACGAAGAUUUUAUGUGUACGUGCAUAACAGGGUCCAACGCAUCCUCCAAUCAACAUGCUCCAACCAGUGGAAACAUGUUCCAUCCGAACUCAACCCAGCAGAUUAUGGGUCCCGCUCUGUUGCAGCAGCGCAACUGAGCAGCACAACAUGGUUUAAAGGGCCGGCCUUUCUCCUCAAACCGUCUGCACAGCCACAAUCUCCAGUCACGUUUGACCUUGUGGAUCCCGCCCUUGAUACGGAAAUGCGUCCGCUGGUGACAGCAAAUCUGACACAAGCCACAAAAUCAACAGUAAGUUCAUCUCAUUUUGAGAAGUUUUCCAACUACAGUCCUCUCCUCAGAGCAGUUGCCCGCUUGAUCCACAUUGCUCGUUCCUUUGGUCUAUCCAACCAAGCAUCCAGCUGUCGUGGUUGGCAUCUCUGUCAACCCACGGUGGAAGAAUUGGAAAAUGCGAAGGUUUGCAUAAAGAGUGUUCAGAGUGAGUGCUACAAAAGGGAAAUAAAGUGUAUUCAGGAAGGAAUCAAGAUUUUCUCCUCAAGCAGUCUCUGGAAACUGCAUCCGAUUUUAGACAGUAAUGGACUCUUAAGAGUUGGGGGCCGGAUCAUACAAUCUGAACUGGGCAUCGACACCACUCACCCUCUCGUCAUCCCUGCCCGACACCACUUGGGAACGCUCUUAAUACGACACUUUCACGAGACUGUGAAACACCAAGGAAGACAUUUCACAGAAGGUGCCAUUAGAGCUGCAGGGUUCUGGAUGGUAGGGCCCAAAGGGCUAUCAGUACAGUGCUUUUUUAAGUGUGUCACAUGCAAGAAAUUGAGAGGAAAAGCAGAAUGUUAGCAAAUGGGGAAACUUACCAUCUGAACGAUUGCGAGUUGCACCCCCCUUCACAUAUGUGGGUGUAGCCGUGGCAUUGUAACACGGCGCACGAGAGGAGGACAAGCUAGCUCUAAAAGGUGGGCCGUGAUGUUCUCAUGUCUGUCAACAAGAGCAGUCCAUAUCGAGUUGAUCCUCAUCCUCACGCCAUCAAUGCUGCUCACGAUGAAACCAGACUCAGCAACGCCACCCCCUGGUGACUUUGGAAAGGGGAUACUUCUGAAAGAACAAUGGAAAAGAGUACAAAGUCUCGCUGACAUGUUCUGGUCCAAAUGGAGACGGGAAUACCUUCAUACUCUUCAGUUGCGACACAAAUGGCAGGACAAGAAACAAAGUCUCAAGGAAGGGGACAUCGUUCUGCUCAAAGACAUUCAGGUGAAGAGGAGCGAUUGGCCCAUGUGUGUCAUAACCAAGACUUUCCCAGGCAGAGAUGGACUUGUCAGGAAAGUCGAAGUAACUACUUCUCACUCAGGCAAUAAGAAGACUUUCUCUCGUCCUGUAACAGAAGUAGUUUUGCUGCUGUCCCCCGAAAAGUUUAGUGACUGACAAUUUAAUAUGGGAUUGUUAUAAUCCCAGGUGGGGAGUGUUAUGUUACUGCUUAGUUAAUUUCAUGUUUCAGAUGUUAGUAAAAUGUGCCACUCUGUGGCCCCUUUAAGUCGAUAUUUUAUGACAGUAGAAGAAGAGUUAGACAGGAAGUGGAUGUUUUCUUGCUAUGCUGUUUCAAGAUGGCCGCUCCACAUUCAUGUCCUUCCUUUGGGUGUUUGUUAAAGCAUUGUCCCACACUUUCCCAUGAAGCCUGAGGAGUGUGAUCCCCCUAUAUUUGGAAGCAGAGGGCGCUCGGUGUCUUACGCAUCAGUAGCUGACACCUCGCUAGAAGAAGAGUAGUGCAGAGCUGGCGCACCAGGUAGUUCCUGUUACCUGCUGUUUCUCUGUUUUUACAGGGGUUUCCUCUCUAUCAGCAGUGCUUCCAUCUGUGCAGCCCAUCCAGUUUUCCCACCAGAGGAGGAGACAUUUCAGGGUUGGUUAAUCAUUUUUGAUCUAUUCACACUGCAACACAGCAUCUACUAUUUUGGGGAUCAGCUCAUGGGGUUCCCAGGCAAACGCCAGCCCCAACGUCACAGACCAGGAGCUGUUCUGGCGUUCUGACCAGUACGACUUUGCUAUAGUGCUUCCUGCUGCUGGGUUGGAGUUUUUCUGGCACUUUGCUCACGGUGGAGAGAGAUUUUACUUGAACUUCAUGGUAAGAAGAAAACACUGUGUCAAGCUAAGUGAAGCCACCUGACAUGUAGUCUGUUUUUCCACAAAUGUCAGAUUAGCAUGGACACCAGCAUCGGUACCAUCUGUUGAAAAGAGCUCACAGUGGGAACAUCAAACAGGAUAUUUCACACUGACAGAGCUGCUCACGAUUCCUGCAGUGUGUGGAUGUCCUGUCUGGUUUUUAACUCUGUAUUGGUUUUGUAGGUCCAGUGGGUGAUGGGAGUUGGCCAUGACAGACACCUGUCUGUCACCGUCAGCACUCCGAGUGAUCUGUUGCUGUCCACUGUUGUCCACUGAUGCAAAAGGCCAGAUCAACUUUGAGGCUGCAGAAUCAGGAACCUGAGCCCUGCUGCAAUGUUCAUUUAAAGAGAAGAGGCUUCCUCCUGGUAACCCUUCCAAACAAGUCACACUUCUCAGUCUCUUUCUAUUUGUACUCUCAUGAACUUUAACAUUUAACAUGAGGCCUGUAGAGUCUGAGAAUGAGAAUUCUUGGGUUUUUGCAGCUUUUCUGAGCGUUUGGAUGGUCUUAGGUUGAAUUUGCUGGAACAUCCACUCCUGAGAUGAUUGUAGCAUUGUGUUAACACACAACUGAAUGCUGCAGACCAGCAAACUGCAAAAACGUCUGCAUUUGCAAAGGUUCUCACACCUGCUGUUGGAUACACCCAUCAAAUACAACUGAUUUUAAUUCCUAUGGAAACAUUAAGGACAAACUCCGUUUCAGUGGUUCACAUAAUGAAUUAAAAACAGUAACUGGUAGCAGAGGCGGGAUUGUUGGAGUUUGACACAUCAAAAGUGAAUAAACAGAUUUUUAUACCUGCGUCUGUUCUGCUGUGUCAGGCUACGACCCACAAAGUGGAGACCUACGUCUUUCAUAUGUUCCGGCACUACGGCUUCAGCUGGAAGAGAGAGAGCGUCGACUACUUCCUGCUGCAGUCCAACUCAAAGUACAUCACCUGGUGGUCGAUGGCCCUCAGCCUCCUCAUCGUCACCUCUGGGUACCUGCGGCUACUCUUCCUCAAAAGCCUCUUUGUCAGCAAUACCGGCACAGAGGGCGAGAAGCCUCGAUGCUGAUAGACUCAAACGAAAACCAAAAGAAAAAGAAUUUAAAAAAUAAAAAUGUCUGGAUUUGUGUGGAGGAACGGCAGACACGAACAAAUUCAAAGCAGUGAUGGUUCUUUCUCCUUGAAUGAAUAAAUAUUAGAAAUACUCAUGUUAAGACUUUGUGAUGCUUUUCCAAAGAGACUGGAUCAGUUAUCUUAACACGUUUUUUUUUUUUUUUUUUUUCUCCCCACAGUAUACUGCAUUGAUACAGUUUGAUAACACAAAAACAAUAACAUAUGUGAUGGUGAUUUUAAAAAUAUUGAAACAUAUUAUACUGACAGCUACCAGUACUCUCCAGAAACCAUUCAUCAGCUGUUUGCAAAAUCUACACGUUGGCAUAGCAAUGGGCGGUUACCGAGGGUAGGGCUGGGCAAUAUGGCCUAAAAUUCAUAUCGCAAUAUAAUUUGAAGCACAUGCGGUAAUGAUAUAUAUCACGAUAUAUUCUUUUCUUCUGUAUAACGUAUUUUCCACACAAUAAGGCACACUUAAAA